AUUUCCAUUGAAGAAGUCAAACAACAUGGAUGGGGCAGCGGUGGGCUGAACCCCCUAAAGUGGCAUGCAGUUAAUCAUAGAAGCAGCAUGUUUUGGGCUCUGACUCGGAGUGGCUGUUUGCCUCUCUGGUUUUCUGGUAGGCUUGCCUCAGCUCCUUAAGUUUCAUGUGGCACUGCUUCGGGUCCCUGUUAUGGUCUCUGUCCUUCAUG